GACGAACGCUGGCGGCGUGCCUAAUACAUGCAAGUAGAACGCUGAAGAGAGGAGCUUGCUCUUCUUGGAUGAGUUGCGAACGGGUGAGUAACGCGUAGGUAACCUGCCUUGUAGCGGGGGAUAACUAUUGGAAACGAUAGCUAAUACUGCAUAACAAUGGAUGACACAUGUCAUUUAUUUGAAAGGGGCAAUUGCUCCACUACAAGAUGGACCUGCGUUGUAUUAGCUAGUAGGUGAGGUAAUGGCUCACCUAGGCGACGAUACAUAGCCGACCUGAGAGGGUGAUCGGCCACACUGGGACUGAGACACGGCCCAGACUCCUACGGGAGGCAGCAGUAGGGAAUCUUCGGCAAUGGGGGCAACCCUGACCGAGCAACGCCGCGUGAGUGAAGAAGGUUGUCGGAUCGUAAAGCUCUGUUGUAAGUCAAGAACGGGUGUGAGAGUGGAAAGUUCACACUGUGACGGUAGCUUACCAGAAAGGGACGGCUAACUACGUG
rnacentral:rRNA from 1 species